rnacentral:lncRNA from 1 species
ACAUGGAAAAAAGAGUCUACAUGCCAAAGCACCACGCCUAAAAAAUAUAGCGCCCUACCCUUUCUUUAUCGCACAAAGAAUAUAUCUCACAGUGUGUUCCAAUAUUUUUGUCGCAUAAAAAAGUUUCUUAACCACUGGUGAUAUAAGAUCCCCCCUAUAAAUAAGUGAUGCCACAAAUCCGAUCAAGACCUAACUAAUUUAGGACACCAAUUCAAAUCAAAUUCAAAUUGGUUUUAAAUCCUUAACCAAGUAGGAAACUUAUGAG